UACGUAGGGUGGCAAGCGUUGUCCGGAAUUAUUGGGCGUAAAGCGCGCGCAGGCGGUCCUUUAAGUCUGGAUGUGAAAGCCCACGGCUCAACCGUGGAGGGUCAUUGGAAACUGGGGGACUUGAGUGCAGGAGAGAAGAGUGGAAUUCCACGUGUAGCGGUGAAAUGCGUAGGAGAAUGUGGAGGAACACCAGUGGCGGAAGGCGGCAUCCUGGAACCGAACACUGAGCCGCUGAGUGAGCGAAAGCCAGGGGAGCAAAACGGG
rnacentral:rRNA from 1 species